GUCCAAUCUGCGACAUGCCCUCCUCGAAAGGAAGAGAAACAAGCAUGCACAAAGGCCUUAACAUAAAACAAAACAUCCCUGCCAUGUCCAAUCUGCGACACAGCUUCCUGGAAAGGGAGAGAAACAAGCAUGCACAAAGGCCUUAACACAAAAAAAUAUCCCUGCCAUGUCCAAUAAGCGACACGCCCUCCUGGAAAGGGAGAGGAACAAGCAUGCACAAAGGCCAUAACAUAAAAAAAAACAUUCCUGUCAUGUCCAAUCUGCGACGCGCUCUCCUGGAAAGGGAGAGAAACAAGCAUGCACAAAGGUCUCAACAUAAAAAACAUCCCUGCCAUGUCCAAUCUGCGACGUGCCCUCCUGCAAAGGGAGGGAAACUAGCAUGCACAAAGGCCUUAACAUAAAA
rnacentral:lncRNA from 1 species